CUGGAGGGGGAUCUGGAGGGGAAUCUGGAGCGGGUGCUGGAGGUGGAGCUGGAUUUGGAGCUGGAUUUAACUUUGGAGCAGGAAUGGGAUGGAAAGGAAAUGCAGGAGGAUUAGUGACAAGUGCACAAAUCAGAGGACAAAGAAUUGCUGCACAAGCCAUGCUAUCUCCUCCAGAUAGACCUCCUCCACAGCCAGAAAGACAAAGGCAAUAAAGACAGUAGCUUCUAUUUUAGAAGUGUAUUAUGUGGAUUUGGACCAUUGCAAAGUAGAUGAAGGUGAUUAGAUUGUACUCAGCACUAUGGCACAUUUUAUUAGAAUAAUUGCACAAUCAAAAACCCCGAUGAUUUGUGAAUAAUAAAAUUUUGCACUGUAGCAAGA